GGUAGGACUACCCGCUGAACUUAAGCAUAUCAA
rnacentral:rRNA from 21 species